rnacentral:misc_RNA from 1 species
UGCCCAUCUAAGUCGUUUUAUUUAUAAUUUUCGAAGAUGGAAAAAUGUCUCUUUCCCUAAGCCUGUUUAUCCAUUAGUACAUCCUGCCGUGCUGGUGGAAACUUUUGAGGAAGGAGAAAGUGUCGCCCACUAUGUUGAUGAACUUCAGGGUCAUGAGCGACUUAAGAGUGCUCUUGCUCAUAUUGGAACUCAUGCCCUUCUCAAGAUGCUUCUGGUUGACAAUUUCAUGCAUGCAGACAUGCAUCCAGG